GAUUUCUGGUUUGACCUGCCUGGCCCGCCAGGGUCACCUGCGUGAGUGCCGGUGCGAGUCUACCAUCCUUCUGGAAAACGGCCUUACCCUUCACUGGGCCGAGGUCGCGAUCCAGAUCUUUUACUUUGAAAAAAUUAGAGUGUUUAAAGCAGGCUUACGCUGUGAAUACAUUAGCAUGGAAUAAUAAUUUAGGACUUCGGUCUCUAUUUUGUUGGUUUCUAGAGCUGAAGUAAUGAUUGAUAGGGAUAGUUGGGGGUGCUAGUAUUCAGCGGCCAGAGGUGAAAUUCUUGGAUUCGCUGAAGACUAACUUAUGCGAAAGCAUU
rnacentral:rRNA from 1 species